AUAGAGGUAGUUAAAGUAUAAUAUGAGAUUUGCAAUUUCGAGUUGAGAAGAGGUCUCUCUCUAUU
rnacentral:tRNA from 1 species